CUGCCCUCCGACACGUGGUGGCUGUAUUGGGCUGUAUGUAGCUAGACUCUGCAGCUUGCGGUUUUAACUGCUUGUGAUUGAGUGGCAACGUGAGUGAGCUCUGCGUAUUCCACCCCAGCGUUAAGAAUCCUUCACUAGCUUCUCUAACUGACCCUGCUUAUUUAUCUAUCGGUAGCAGGACGGGUAAUUGACGCCCUCAGAUGGCUUUGAGGUCGCCAUUUUUGGUUGUUGUCUUUGUCAUGGUGUCAGGACCGGGAUAUCAUCUGGGACACAUUACCCUAUAGAUAUCCCGUUGGACCUCAACGAGGAAGUUGGCAGCACAAGAACUGGGAGACGAGAGAAAUCGUUAGGUAUCCACAGCCGCUGAAAGCCAGUAUUCCAACGCCAGGAAACGCCUGCUUUCCUGAGCAGUUGACAAGAGAGAACCACCGCUAACUGCAACCGGAAGGAGCAGGUUCUCCCUCGCUCGCGCAGCCGCUCUUCCCCGCCACUCCCUUGACUCCCGCCAGCACCUUCCCAGCAAGCACUGCUCAAAUUUGCAUAUCAACUCACGUCCUUUACUUCUAAAUAAAAAUCGAAAAGACAAAUUCCAGAUUUUCCUUGUAAGUCUUCCUUUCAAUUCAGAAGAACCGGAAUUCCCUCUUCGACUUCAGCAACGAACAUGGAAUAAGGCUUUGCUU